ACACAUUCAAAACUCACAUUACAAAAAAAUCUCUUUCGGCCCAACAACUUCAAAAUUCUAAGUGGAAAAAUUCAAGAAAAAGUUUAAAAGUAACAAAAAAAACUUAAGAAAAAUGUCGUGCUGCCCUCCCGCCUGUUGCCCUCCAGCAUGCUGUGUCCCUUGCUGUGCGCCUGCGUGCUGUGUCCCCUGUUGUGUUCCGUGUGUCUAUGUUCCAUGCUGUCUGCCUUGCCCUCCAUGUUGCCCACCGUGUCCACCACAGUGCUGAUAUCUGGCUAACUCAAUCUGGCAGCAUGUCGAGUGGGGCACAAGCAUGUGAUGACUCUUUUGAUGGAACAAAUAGCAGUACGUUCUCUAAAAAGAAACUUCUGUGUUGUAAAAUGUUAUAAAAAGUGAAUAUACCGGAAUAAUUUAAUAAAUAAAGGUUCUUAAAGGUGAA